rnacentral:rRNA from 1 species
GACGAACGCUGGCGGCGUGCUUAACACAUGCAAGUCGAACGGUGACCUCGAGAGCUUGCUCUUGAGUGAUCAGUGGCGAACGGGUGAGUAACACGUGAGUAACCUGCCCCAGACUCUGGAAUAACCCCGGGAAACCGGAGCUAAUACCGGAUACGAAGUGGAGCCGCAUGGCUACUACUUGGAAAGUUUUUCGGUCUGGGAUGGACUCGCGGCCUAUCAGCUAGUUGGUGAGGUAACGGCUCACCAAGGGGACGACGGGUAGCCGGCCGGAGAGGGCGACCGGCCACACUGGGACUGAGACACGGCCCAGACUCCUACGGGAGGCAGCAGUGGGGAAUAUUGCACAAUGGGCGAAAGCCUGAUGCAGCGACGCCGCGUGAGGGAUGACGGCCUUCGGGUUGUAAACCUCUUUCAGCAGGGAAGAAGCGAAAGUGACGGUACCUGCAGAAGAAGCACCGGCUAACUACGUGCCAGCCGCCGCAGUAACAC